UUUAACCUCGGGACGCAGCAGUGAGGAAUAUUGGUCAAUGGGCGCGAGCCUGAACCAGCCAAGUCGCGUGAGGGAAGACGGUCCUAUGGAUUGUAAACCUCUUUUGUCGGGGAGCAAAAGACGCCACGUGUGGCGUUCCGAGAGUACCCGAAGAAAAAGCAUCGGCUAACUCCGUGCCAGCAGCCGCGGUAAUACGGAGGAUGCGAGCGUUAUCCGGAUUUAUUGGGUUUAAAGGGUGCGCAGGCGGAAGAUCAAGUCAGCGGUAAAAUUGAGAGGCUCAACCUCUUCGAGCCGUUGAAACUGGG
rnacentral:rRNA from 1 species